rfam:Vibrio genomosp. F6 str. FF-238 FF-238_contig_30, whole genome shotgun sequence.
GGGGCUGAUUCAGGAUUCGACAGGAAUUUUGAAGUCUGAGGUGCAUGCCGUGGGGCGGUUGGCCACGUAAAAAGCCGCAAAAAAAUAGUCGCAAACGACGAAAACUACGCACUAGCAGCUUAAUAACCUGCUGAGAGCCUUUCUGCCCUAGCUUCCGCUUGUAAGACGGGGAAUAACAGAGAGUCAAACCCAAACUAGCUAGAUCGGAUUCUCCCGCCUGAGAGAUGAAGUUCGAAAUUUAAUUCAGGAUAGUCAUUUACUAGCGUGUCGGUUCGCAGGUACUUGGUGAAAUUAAAGAUCGACUAAGCAUGUAGUACCAAUGAUGAAUGAUUUCUGGACGCGGGUUCAACUCCCGCCAGCUCCACCA